rnacentral:rRNA from 1 species
UACGGGGGGAGCAAGCGUUGUUCGGAUUUACUGGGCGUAAAGGGCGCGUAGGCGGUCAGCACAAGUCAGUUGUGAAAUCUCCGGGCUUAACUACGGAAAGGUCAACUGAUACUGUGCGACUAGAGUGCAGAAGGGGCAACUGGAAUUCUCGGUGUAGCGGUGAAAUGCGUAGAUAUCGAGAGGAACACCUGCGGCGAAGGCGGGUUGCUGGGCCGACACUGACGCUGAUGCGCGAAAGCCAGGGGAGCGAACGGG